rnacentral:lncRNA from 1 species
GGGCCACCACAUAUACAAAUAUAACAUCACUAUAUAAACUUCCAUGACUUUACCCUUCCUUAUGUCUACAAAGCCUCUAGGAUACACAUGACAUAACUAGGGUCGGGACAAACCCCCCGCCCACACAUGACUCCUGUACAAUAACAAAACAUAAGGGACAGACUCGGAAAGCUCUGAAGUAAACUGGAGCUCACCAACAAUAGCUGUAUGACCUGGCUCCUAUCUAUGCUGUGAAUGAGCUGAAGCACCUGUGCCUGCAGCAUGAAAUGCAGGUCCCCCGUGAGGGACGUCAGUACGAAAUAUGUACUGAGCAUGUAAAGCUGUAAAUAAUCAUAUGUGAUAUGGGGGAUCAAGAAAAUCAGACGCAAGUGAAUAAAUCAUUAUAGAAGUGAACCACACUUUAUAAACACUUUUAGGAUCAUGUACAUUAUCAUUAAUCUGAAUUGGGUUCUUGAAUUCAAACACAUUUGUGGAACGGUAUACAUUCGUUCAUUUUAUUCUUUACAAUUAUCAUUCGCCAUUACCUCCUCCUCCCGAACCUCCAACCACCUAACAAUAAUCAAUACUGUACCGUACUGUGACCAUUAGGCUGCCCCCAGUACAUAUCAACUGUAAUCAUAUCAAAUAUCGGGAUCGGCCCAUGCUAGGCUUAAGCCCCUGAGCUACCACCCACACGUAUAUCAAGUAACACACAUAAGAGAUCUUUCCAAUAACUUAGUUCAAAAGCUUUUGAGAUUAUUACAUUAGUGUUCAUGCCAAUAUAGUACCUUUGGAAUAAUGAUACAUCAAUAGGAACCAAGUAAUAGACUUUCUAUACAAUAACGAUGUAAUAAAGACUCAUUGGUACAUCAACAAUGUGUUUCGGAAUCAUCAAUAUCACAACAAUGAAAUAGGAGCCUUUCGGUAUAUCAAUGAAACAUUUUGACACUUUAUAGAAUGGAAACAACUUCGUUGGUAAUGUAGAACAAUACAUGUUUUUGGACAACCUCGGAAUCUUACUUGAUGGAACAUUGGUGUUUUCAUGCCAAAGAACAUCGUUAGAGUAUGCUUUACAUACCUCGUUGUAGAUUCGGAUACCAAUUCAACACAACUUCCCGCCUUUACAAAUCACUUAUCUACAAUGAAAUGUUUGGCAUCUAGUAUUAGCAACCCAACACCACAAUUCUCUUCCAUAAUUCCAUACUACCAAUAUUUGCAAAACAUUCCAAAAACCAACUUGAACAAUCGGUUUAUGUGUAUAUAUAUAUAUAAUCAUCAUUUCAAUACCACAUCAUCAAUACCACAUCAUCACCCCAAAUUCCUUCACAAUUUAACAUAAUCCAACCAUGCACAAGAAUAAUCCAACAUCAUUUCCAAUCAUCUUUCAACAACAAUCAAAUAACAUACUUCUUAUGCUCACAUGCAUAUAUAUAUACAUAUCCAUAUAAAUAACACCAACAUAAUUUACAUCCUUACCAAAAAAAAUGGCCCUUUUGAUUUCGAAGUCCUGUUGGCACAAAUAAGGGGUGCUUCUCGAAGCCCUCGAGACGGUGAACACAACUACGGAAUCAAUUUGGAUUUUCUACGGUUGAAUCACAAGAUAAUUGGAGUUGAACUUAGGCUAGGGUUUCUUAUUCUUCAAUGAUUUGGAUGAUAAAUGGUGGAUAUAAGGCUAAGUAUAUGUAUAUAAUGACCAAUUUUCGUCCAUGAGGUGAUGGAAAAUGACCAUAUUGCCCUUAAAAAUUUAAGUAAAUCCGAAUCUGUCCAUGGUGGACUGUUUUGAUAGGCUAAAGUAAAUCGGCCAUAACUCUUUGCUCCGAUAUCGGAUUUGGGUGAAAUUGGUAUCGUUAGAAAGAUAAUUCAAAGGUAUUUCAUUUAAUAUAAAUUAAUCCACCCAGUUCGUCCUGUACAAGUAGUUAUGAUCGUUUGAAGUUGACCCUAAAAAUCUGUUUUGAGAGGCUGAAGUAAAACGAGUUUAGUAGUUUGUGUGCAGGAAAUUUUCCUGCACAUUUACUAUUCCCAAUAUCCCGGCCACCGUUUUAUAGUUUUGAACGUGCUCGAUUAUAUCCGAAACCUAUCCAUUUUUGGAAAUCCUUAUAUCGUUGGAAAACUUAUUCAAUAAUCUUCGUAUGGAACCCUCGACAGGCAAAUUCUGGUAUAAAUAAAAUAAAAUAAAAUAAAUUCCAUAUAAAUAAGACCAAUACACGUACUUGAAUACGCCAAUAUAUGUACUUGAAUACGGGGUGUUACAACUUCGUACUAAUAACGUAUUAUAAAAUAAUAAAGAACAAGAAGAAGAGUAGAGAGAAUAGAGAGAGUGAUUCUUAUUUCUUCUCUUGGGGGAUGAUUUACAAUGAAGGAAGUCCUUCUAUUUAUAGAGAAAAUUUUCCCCUAACUUCACACUAAAAGACAAAUACAUCAAAUCCUGAUAGACGUCAAAUAGAUCUUGAUAGACAUUCACUAUAAUUGAUAUAUAUAUAUCAUAACAAGAUUGUAUAUUUCAAGUUAUAGCAAUAUUUUUAGAUUGCCAUUAAUAACAACUUUUAAAAUAAAUAAAUAAAUUUUAAAAAAUCAUCCUCAAGAAGUUUUCUCUCACCUCCAAAUUCUUAUUUUCUUUUAUUUCUCCGUAAUUUGUUAUAUAAUUCCACAAUUCUCUCCCUCUUCUUCUGUAUACACGAUUCUCUCCUCUCUUUUCUGUUCCAUUUUAUUCUAUACUUUAUUCAUACACACACAUAUAUUUAUAUAUAAUUAAUUGAAAUCCUCCAUAGAAAAAAUAUAAUAAUUAAUAUGUGGUAAUCUUUACUCCAUUAAAUUCUCCUCAUGAAUUUUUUUCAGUUCUUAAUUAAUUUUUUCAUCAUACAAAUUAUAGUAAUCUUAUUUCUCAUUAUUUUUGAAGACCUCGAUUAAGAAUUUUUUCAUAGAUAUAAAAUCUUGAUUAAAAAAAAUAAGAAAUGAGUAUUAAAUCAGUAUCACCUAAAUUAAGUAUCACAAUUCAUAAAUACCAGUUUAUAUAUUUAUUUUAUACACAUUCAAUAUAAAUGUGACAUUUUAUAUAUGAUAUAGGUGUAUAACAUGAUUUAAACUUGGUUGGAAAAAUAAAUGUAAUGUAAUACACAUAAAAAGUGUGCGUAUGUAAUGGGUAUAAACCCAAUUUUCAAAUAAAUUCACAUAAAAGUCACAAUAUUUUUUUUUGUAAUUUUAAUACGAAUUACAUACAUUGAAAUCCCGGUAAGAAAUACCAUUUAGUAAAUGAAACGAAUCUAUAAAUUGAUUUCAAUAUAAUUUGUUAUAUCAUUUUUUAUUAGGAAAUUUUGUAUCAUUUUCAUACACUAAACUUUAUAAAAUUUUAUAUUAUUUUCACAAACCAAAAUCAAAAGAACUCAGUGACGAGAUGAAAAUGAAAGUAAAUUAAUUAAGGAAGAGAGUCUAUUAAUAGAAAGAAAUUUUCAAUCAAUAAAGAAAUAGAGAAGGCAUGUUUAUUUGGAAAAGUAAAUUAAGGCGACUUUUACGAAAAAGAAAAGAAAUGUGUAUAAAUGAAGAUAAUUUAUUAAUUAGAUUUUACUCCUCUAACAAUUAUCAACGUGAAAAUUGAAAUGAAUGAAAACAAAAAGAUAAAUAUAAAUAUUUAAGAGUGAAUUAAUUAAUUUAUAACUAUCAAACAAUUUUAACAAAAAAUAUUUUUAAUAAAAAAAAAUUAAAAACUGCUGCAACUUCCAAUUAUAAAUACAAUUUAAUAAUUAAAAAAAAAAACAUAGCAUUACAGGCUGCAAUAAUUUAAUAAUUACAUACUCCUAUAAGAUUACUUUGACUAAAAACGAAUAAGUGGGCCUAAAAAGCAGCAAAAAUUUUAGAUUAUCUGGAGCUAUGGAACUAGGGAUGCAAAUGUGGGCCUUGGCUAUAAAUCAUGGGUAGGAAAGAGGGUAAAUUAUACUAAUAACCACUUCUCAAUAAUAAUAUUUAGAAAAUAAUCACUGUCAUUUAAAAUUUAGAACAUUAUCAUAAAAUUUUACAAGACGAAAAAUGACUGUUAAACGUUAAACGCUACUACUGGAUGUCAUAUUCAACAACAAUAAACCCAGUGUAUUCCCACAUAGUGAGGUCUGGGAAGGGUAAGAUGUACGCAGUCCAUACCUCUACCUCUAAAGAAGUAGAAAGGUUGUUUCCGAUCGACCCCCGGCUCGAGACCUCAUAUUCAUUUUCAAAAAUUGGGUUAUUUGAUCGUUGCAAAUUGUUGAGGAAGCUUGAGAGAAUGAAUAUAUCAAAUUUGAGUCAUUUAGAGUUGAUUUGGAUUGAUUUUACACUUAAUUUUACAAGGAAAAAAAGGUGAGAAAAGGCACACGCAAAGCAAGUGUUUCCAAUAUAGGGAAAAUUAAGAAGAGCCUCGGCGCAUUCCAUUAUUAGAUGGACGGGCCCAUUCUAAUUGGGUUUUGUUGGGCAUCUCAGAUGGGAAAUCUAACAUGGCCUACUUAAUUAUGUUUUGGGUUCCUUCACAUUUUACUUCAUUUGUUUUAGGUAAAAAUAACAUAAAUUUCAAUCUUAUUAAAAUUAUUUACACUCUCUAUCACUUCCUUAAUUACUUUACUCUCUCUCCAAAUUCAUAGGCCGACAUAUACCUAGAAACUUUUGUAUAUGACAAGGCUGACAUAUACAUAAUAAGACCGAUUCAUAUACAUAACAAGUACGACAAGGCCGACAUACACAUAACAAGGCCAACAUAUACAUAACAAAGUCAAUUCAUAAACAUAGUAGGGCCGACAUAUACAUAGAAAGCUAUGUAUAUGUAUUUUAGAGAAAAAUAAGAUUUUUGUAAUAUGUUUGGAGAAAUGAGAUUUUUUGUAAUAAGUGAAACUUAAGUUUUGGAUUUGUGUAAUUUUUAGUUGUUUUAUUUUAGGGUAAAUGAUCAAAUUUACCUCUCUAUUUUGAAAAAAUGAUUAAAUAUGUCCUUAAUCAUAUUUCAUGACUAAAUUAAUCUUCAUUGUCAUACUUUAGGAUCAAAUUUACCUCAUUUUUAAGAAACUUUUCACUUAUAUCCUUCCUUUAUAAAAAAAAGUCCAAAUCAAUAUUAAAUGAUUCAUUUUCUUUAAAUAAAACACACCAUAAUCUAAUCAACCUGACACGAUCGACAAUAAAGACACAAACAAAUAUAUCCUCAAUUUAUUUUUGACGAACAAAUAUAUUUCUUUUUCAAACGUGCACCGUUAGUAGGUUGUUUACAAUCUCACUACAUGUCCAUUCACCAUCAACAAUGUAUUUGUAUUAAUAGCGUCCUUCCUGUGUAUGGAGGAGACUAGGAUUGACAAUCCUUACAAAAUAUUUGUUGCAUGUAAUUGAAUUAUUUUGUAACAACAUAUUCUUUAAAUAGAUAAUUCUUUGAAUUUUUUUUCAAAAUAGAUAUAUAAAUCUUGUCCUUUUCUCUUUAUUUUAUAUAUGUUGAUAUCUAACUAAAUACUAAGUUAUAGGGUAAAAUAAUCAAAUAAAAAUUAAAAGCUUGGUUGGAUAAAUAGCUAACGCAAUUUAGUGUCUUAAUUCCAAAACAUAUCAUAAAAUACUUCACCCCUCCAUUUUAUGGCAAUAUUAAGUUGAAAAAACAUUUGAUACCUAUAUAUUCGAGUUGGAAAAAGACCUUUUGAUGAAUAAUCUAAAUUUGCAAAAAACUCUCACAAAAAAAGGAUUUGUGUUAAUUCUAACAAAAUCAUGUCUGGGCGCCACUAGAGAACAUCAUUAUGGGAAUAUAAAGAUUUAAUAAUUUCAUUGCUCUAUUCUCUUGGCUAUGAAUUAAAAGUCUCAAUCGUUUUGAAUUUUGAUUACUAAAAACAAGUGUCAAUCAAGCAUGAUGAUAUGUCAAAAGAAAAGGAAUAAAUUUGUCCAAUAUUUGUAAUUAUACAUACUCUAACUUCGUAAACACUUAUUCCUUUUUUUGUUUUUGUUCAAAAUGUAAAUAUUUCUCAUACUAAUAUGCCUUAUUUUUUCAAUUUUUUCUCUCUCAAAUUUAUUUCUUAUUUGAAGAAUCAAACUCCAAAUUUUAAAGAAAAAAAUAAACUAAAAUUUUGACGAAACUUUAUCUUGGGUAGACAUAGCUUUCCCCUUCAUUUUUUUUUUUUCUAAUAAAAGGAGGGAAAAUUUAAAACUGAAUAUAUUAAUUAUUUAAACUUUCAUCUAAUCAGUGAGUGUUAAAUCUGAAAAACAAAAGUAAUCUAAUGAAUACCUGCCAGCAAACUUCAUUAAUGCUGAUGGACCAGUAUACAUAGAUCACCUCCCUCACUUUCCUUCGAAUUCAUUUCUUCACCAAACUACGAAACUUUGAACUCAUCUAAAUGGGAAAGAUGAAGUAGAGAAUCAAAAUUUUAUUGAAUAUAUAUACACGUGAUAGCAAUAAAAUUGCUUAAUUUUUAAUACCAAAUACCAAGUGGAGAAACUAUUAUCUCGACGUACUUUGAAAAAGUAUUCAAAAUUACCUUCCAUUGAUUAUUAUAAAGGGACUCUUUCGACAGUGAUAUUUUCCGAACUUGUACUGUUAAAAAUGUCUAGGAUGUUUAAUGACCAUUAAGUUACACUU